AUAUAUUGGUGAAAUUAAUGCCGUCAAAGGCAGUGGGCCAAAAUAUAAAGGGCCUGUCCACCUGGUUUUAGGAACACACACCGAAGGAAGAUUUUGUGAGAAAUACCUCCCAUUGCAAAUAUCUUCCUCCAUUCCUAGUCUUUCACUACAAAUGCAUAGUUAGCAUCGGACGAAUAUCUUCUCGGUUCAUACCAUAAACUGAUAUAUGAAUUUAUUAUAAACAAAAAACAAAACAAAAAGGAAAAGCAAAAACCACAGGAAAAAGAAUCAUACAGAAUAGAAGAAAGAAAGAAAGAAAGAAAGAAAGAAGUAUUAACAGGACAACUUCAACCUAAAAAGUGUAUAGAAACAAACAGGCCAAAGACUGCCAGUAACUAAAAGACCUUUGCCCAACGUUUAACUUCCCAAACACCGGAGAACUAUCAAAGGUAAAGGCUCAGGCCAAGAGAACCAGAAACUUUUUCACUGUACAGUUACCGUUUCUCGCCGUUAAUCUGAGGAUGAAUUUGAUUCCUGCUUCGCUGAUCAUGUUGUGCUGUGCUGUUCUUCUUUGCCAAAGUAUGCGGUUUCGCGGGACACAAACCAUGCAGCAUGUUCCACUGGAAAUAGACGGAAAUAGACAAAGAAGCAUCGAGGAUGAUUACGAUGCGUCUCGUAUGCGUCAGUUGCUCACGAACUUGAAGCUCCAAAGAAUGUUGAGAAAACGUGCUGGCGUGGCAUACAACAGCGAUUAUUUGCUUCUCUUAGAUAAAAUGAAAAACAUAGUUGAUAAACAGCAGUCUGAUGCAUGGAACAGUAAACUCAAAGACCUUGGUAAAUAGUUCUGAGAUUUUCAUAAGACGAAUAAGACCGGUUCUCUAACAAUAUACUGUAAACUUAAAUAUUGCCAAUUUUGUUGAAUGGGAAAAUAAAGGAAAUAUGCAUAAACAUGUA